AGACCCCGCCAGCGCCAGAGACACCGAGGACGUGAGGCCAUGAUGGACUCCGCGCGGAGUCUGGCCUAGACUGCAAGGCCGGCCGUGCAGUCCUGAGGCGAACCGUGGGGUGGGCGCGGCAGGAGUCUGAGUGAUCCGUAGUGGGCACUGGACGCGCCUGUACGUGAGGCGGGUCUGGUCCCGGUCUCCGAGCUGGCUGGACAGUGCGGAAGCGGGAUGGAGCCUGGCUUCAGAACUGCGCGGGUGUGAGGGAGCCUAGGAGUCCCUUGCCUACUACUCUGAGCUGUUCGCUGAGGAACGCCCUGAGAUGGGGCCUACUGUAUUUCCCUGGCUUUACCUGCAACUUUGGUCACAAAUGACCACCUGCCUCAUCCUCUCUAGUAGCAGGGACAACAGUGCUCAUAGUAGAAGCCUUUAGAGCUGGGGUGUGGCCUCACAUGCACCAGACCUUGGAUUGGAUCCCAGUUGUAUUGCAGGAACUUGGUGUAUCAGCCUUGUCUACGUUGGUGAUGCAGACAUUUCCCUUGUUGAUUUUGAUUUUUUUUAGUUGGUUGGUUUGUUUGGGACUGGUUCUCACUAUAUAGGAUGGCCUUGAGCCUUCUAUCUUAUGGUAUGUAUACCUUUCUGUGCUCAGUUCAUGUUAAAAAAAUUGUUCUUGUAGAUUCAUGAUUUCAUGUUUUUAGUCCUACUUUUUCUUUCUAGAAUCUACCUUGAUGUCUUUGGAAGGAUUCUACUUUUUUUUAAUUCAAAAACAUCUAACUGAAUGUUCCAACAGCUUUUUACUGAGUUCUCCUAUUGAUUUUUUUACAUGUAUAUGUAUGUAUGUAUGUAUGUAUGUAUGUGUGUGUGUAUGUAUGCAUGCAUGGAUGAAUGGAUGAAUUGACAUUGAGGGUUCAUUAUGUGACUCAGGCUGGUCUUGAACUCCUGUACUCAUGUGACCCUCCUGUCUUAUCUUGUCUUGGAGCUUGGGCUACAGGUGUGUGCCCUGCUCUUCCCAAUGGAUUUUAAGUUGAUAC